rnacentral:snRNA from 1 species
AUGCUGGGCAAUCUGGCUCAUCUGUCACCCCAUUGGUUGCCAGGGUGGAUUCCGCUGAUCUGACUGGAUGACUGGGUGCCCUAUUCUGCCCUCAUUGCUCUGUGUGUGUCUCCUCCAAAGCUCUGCACUUGGGGGAAGAGGACAACCACCCCAAAUUGAAAGGCUGUAGCAAUCUUCGGUCAAGGGGAAAGGACA